rnacentral:rRNA from 1 species
UUGCACGCUGGCGGCAGGCCUCACACCUGCAAGUCGAGCGGAUGAAGGGAGCUUGCUCCUGGAUUCAGCGGCGGACGGGUGAGUAAUGCCUAGGAAUCUGCCUGGUAGUGGGGGAUAACGUCCGGAAACGGGCGCUAAUACCGCAUACGUCCUGAGGGAGAAAGUGGGGGAUCUUCGGACCUCACGCUAUCAGAUGAGCCUAGGUCGGAUUAGCUAGUUGGUGGGGUAAAGGCCUACCAAGGCGACGAUCCGUAACUGGUCUGAGAGGAUGAUCAGUCACACUGGAACUGAGACACGGUCCAGACUCCUACGGGAGGCAGCAGUGGGGAAUAUUGGACAAUGGGCGAAAGCCUGAUCCAGCCAUGCCGCGUGUGUGAAGAAGGUCUUCGGAUUGUAAAGCACUUUAAGUUGGGAGGAAGGGCAGUAAGUUAAUACCUUGCUGUUUUGACGUUACCAACAGAAUAAGCACCGGCUAACUUCGUG